rnacentral:siRNA from 1 species
CGGGUAUUUUGUAUGUAGAUAGUG